GCCCUGGUAGCUCAAUUGGCUAGAGCGUGGGACUUUUAAGGUCUAAUCUUCUCAGCGCCUCUGAAGGAUGAUGACUAGCAAUCCCAAGGUUGCGGGUUCGACCCCCGCCUGGGGCG